rnacentral:rRNA from 1 species
AGAUGACGAGGUCGAUAGGUCCGAGGUGGAAGCGUGGCGACACGUGGAGCUGACGGAUACUAAUCGAUCGAGGGCUUGACCUAU